GAUGAACGCUGGCGGCGUGCCUAAUACAUGCAAGUCGAGCGAAUGGAUUAAGAGCUUGCUCUUAUGAAGUUAGCGGCGGACGGGUGAGUAACACGUGGGUAACCUGCCCAUAAGACUGGGGUAACUCCGGGAAACCGGGGCUAAUACCGGAUAACAUUUUGAACCGCAUGGUUCGAAAUUGAAAGGCGGCUUCGGCUGUCACUUAUGGAUGGACCCGCGUCGCAUUAGCUAGUUGGUGAGGUAACGGCUCACCAAGGCAACGAUGCGUAGCCGACCGGGGAGGGUGAUGGGCCACACGGGGACUGAGACACGGCCCAGACUCCUACGGGAGGCAGCAGGAGGGAAUCUUCCGCAAUGGACGAAAGUCUGACGGAGCAACGCCGCGUGAGCGAUGAAGGCUUUCGGGUCGUAAAACUCUGUUGUUAGGGAAGAACAAGUGCUAGUUGAAUAAGCUGGCACCUUGACGGUACCUAACCAGAAAGCCACGGCUAACUACGUGCCAGCCGCCGCAGUAA
rnacentral:rRNA from 1 species